rnacentral:rRNA from 1 species
GAGGAAUAUUGGUCAAUGGGCGCGAGCCUGAACCAGCCAAGUAGCGUGCAGGAUGACGGCCCUAUGGGUUGUAAACUGCUUUUGUAUGGGGAUAAAGUCAAUCACGUGUGAUUGUUUGCAGGUACCAUAUGAAUAAGGACCGGCUAAUUCCGUGCCAGCAGCCGCGGUAAUACGGAAGGUCCGGGCGUUAUCCGGAUUUAUUGGGUUUAAAGGGAACGUAGGCCGGAGAUUAAGUGUGUUGUGAAAUGUAGACGCUCAACGUCUGACUUGCAGCGCAUACUGGUUUCCUUGAGUACGCACAACGUUGGCGGAAUUCGUCGUGUAGCGGUGAAAUGCUUAGAUAUGACGAAGAACUCCGAUUGCGAAGGCAGCUGACGGGAGCGCAACUGACGCUUAAGCUCGAAGGUGCGGGUAUCGAACAGGAUUAGAUACCCUGGUAGUCCGCACAGUAAACGAUGGAUGCCCGCUGUUGGUACCUGGUAUCAGCGGCUAAGCGAAAGCAUUAAGCAUCCCACCUGGGGAGUACGCCGGCAACGGUG